rnacentral:tRNA from 45 species
GGGCUAUUAGCUCAGUGGUAGAGCGCGCCCCUGAUAAUUGCGAUCAGUGUAUGGACAGCUAUCUCUCGAGCACAGGU